rnacentral:lncRNA from 1 species
AAUCUGCUUUGUUUUUUGUUUGUUUCUUUAUUUUAUUUUAUUUUUUUAGUACCCGGGAUUGAACUCAGUGGUGAAACUACUGAGCUAAAUCCCUGGCCCUGUUUCCUUUUUAGAGACAAAGUGGCCUUGUUUGUUGCCCAGGCUGGUCCUGAACUCCUAGGCUCAAGUGAUCCUCUUCCCUCAGCCUCCUAAGUAACUGGGACUAUAGACAUGCAAUACCAUACCUGCUUGGAAAUCUGCAUUCUUAUGAGCAGCACAGAAGAGUGUAAUGCAGGGUCAUUAGAACACACUUUAAACAACACUGCAGUCCCCCUACAGAGUUGUCAGCUCUCAGGUCUCAGGAGCUGCCCUGGCCUGGCUUACCAGUAUGGAGAUGGCUGGGAAGGCACUAUGUGAACGCUUCGAGACCAACAUGCUUUCCCAGUGCCACUGUCAAAACUGCUUCCACCCUGAGGAGGUCCACCGAGCAAGGCACCAGGUGGGCCUGCUUUCCAGGGCAGUUUGGGAUGGGGAGUCGGGUUGGGUUAGGGCAUGAACUUGCACUUGAAGCCAGGUGCCUCCUCCUGACCAAUGCUCUUUUUUCCUACCCAUAAAAUGGGGUGAAUGGACCGUGUUAAUAUCUUCCAUCACCUUCCUCCUGUGUGUACAGUAAUCUAGCCUCAU